AACAGACUCCUUGAUGACCGGAAAGGUUUAGUCUUAGAAGGUAAUAAAGAAGCGCCCUGUGAACAUCUAAAGAAUGCAGAGCCUUUUCCAGCGAUGUGGUUGGAGAUCUAAAGAAAGUGGGCAAUACCUCAUCCUGGUUGAUGUGGAAGUCCGACACAAUUUUUGCUGAAAAACGGCGCACAACAGGAGAACCAAAAAACAGUCCGAGGUCAAAUCCAAUAAUCAAGCAGUCCAAAUCACAAAUCCAAAGAAUAGUCAACAAUUGGUCCGAGAUCAGAACUGUGUAGCAGAACUUUGUAAAAAAAAAUCGCAAGGAACCAAAAUGAAGGAGCCGCAGAAAUCGCGAGCAAUCCCUACGGCGGUCAAAAAGAAACUGAGAUGCCUGCGCUUCCUCCCGCCUUAAAUAGCCAUGUGGUAACGUGGGGUGGGGCGCAGGCGCUGAAGAGGAGCUGUAGAACUCGAUACCGAGAGGCUUCGGCGCAGGUGCAGAACCCACUCUAAUGAUGUCAAUGGAUCACGUCCCAGAUCAAACUCUACACUAGCUACCCAGAAUGGUAUUUUAUCUAUUUUAUAUUGUGCACCAAUAAAUUUUAAAUGUUGGA